rnacentral:lncRNA from 12 species
GGAGGUUUCAGGUCCUCCUGUGGGUCUGUUCCAUCAAGGGAGCCCAGCUGGGAGCCCAUCCCCACAUCCAGCCAGGAUGGGAGCAGAACAGCAGCAGCAGGUGUGCAGGGAGAAAGGGAGGAUCACACCAAAUUUGCCAGCCCCAUGGAUUUCUAAUCUUACCCCCGUUCCUCUUGAGCUCCCAGCAUGGAGCACGCACGAACUGCACCUCCUACAUGAAGCCCAGAGAGGGUCUGUGCUGCGAGGAAACGGGCAGGGCCAAUGUCCCAGCAGCAGAGAUAACAUCUGCAUCAGCCACGAGUGGAACCAUUGGAGCAGCACCUCGUCACGUGCCCAGCCCCUCCUGCUGCACACACCAGCAGUCCAGGUUGGAUCAUCUUAUUUUCCAUAAACACACCAGGAAGCAGCUCAGAGAUUGGUUGUGACAUACCCCAGGCUAAUUCCAUGGAAAGCCUGUUUUCCAAAGGAAACAUUUGCCAUCUUACUCCCAGCUUUGAUUUGCCUGUCCCUGCUCACUUGCCAGAGCUUGUUCUGCAACGUUAAUAGGGAAGUUUCUUUGCACGGAGCCAAUUGUGCCCCAGUGAUUUUGUUCAAGGGAUAAAAAGCACAUUCACUCGGUGUUUGAGGUGGCAUUUAUUUGGUGGGUGAGCUGGAGGGCUCAGUGGGCAGAGAGAAAAAAAAAACAAACCAUCCCUGUGAGGAGCUCUUUGAAAAGAAAAGAAACAAGAACCCAGGAGAGAUAAGAAAACGAGCGCUUGCAGGAUCUGGGAGAGCCUCGUGCAGAGGGACAGAGACAAAGCACGAGAAUGCACUUUAUUUGUGACAAGCUUUCCAUCCUGGGCAGCCAAACAGGACAUCCUGCCUCAGUUCUCCUUCCUCUCUUUAAUUAGAGUUGCGUUCAGGACACUGUCAUUAAUGUCAUCUCAGCAUUUCCAUGGCAGAGCCCUGUUUUUGCUGGACUUUAGGAACUUGGCCCUAGAAAAGCCUGUUUUUAGUGCAGAGCUGCUCAGC